ACGGGAGGCAGCAGUGGGGAAUAUUGCACAAUGGGGGAAACCCUGAUGCAGCGACGCCGCGUGAAGGAAGAAGUAUUUCGGUAUGUAAACUUCUAUCAGCAGGGAAGAUAAUGACGGUACCUGACUAAGAAGCCCCGGCUAACUACGUGCCAGCAGCCGCGGUAAUACGUAGGGGGCAAGCGUUAUCCGGAUUUACUGGGUGUAAAGGGAGCGUAGACGGUACGGCAAGUCUGAUGUGAAAACCCGGGGCUCAACCUCGGGACUGCAUUGGAAACUGUCGAACUAGAGUGUCGGAGAGGUAAGCGGAAUUCCUAGUGUAGCGGUGGAAUGCGUAGAUAUUAGGAGGAACACCAGUGGCGAAGGCGACUUACUGGACGAUUACUGACGUUGAGGCUCGAAAGCGUGGGGAGCAAACAGGAUUAGAUACCCUGGUA
rnacentral:rRNA from 1 species